rnacentral:tRNA from 1 species
GGGAACAUAACUCAACUUGGUAGAGUGUUUGUUUUGCGUACAAAAAGUUAUCGGUUCAAGUCCGAUUGUUUCCA